rnacentral:rRNA from 1 species
AGGGUUUGAUCAUGGCUCAGAUUGAACGCUGGCGGCAUGCUUUACACAUGCAAGUCGGACGGCAGCAUAAAAGAGCUUGCUCUUUUGAUGGCGAGUGGCGAACGGGUGAGUAAUGCAUCGGAACGUACCGAGUAGUGGGGGAUAACUGUCCGAAAGGAUGGCUAAUACCGCAUAUUCUCUGAGGAGGAAAGCAGGGGACCUUAGGGCCUUGCGCUAUUUGAGCGGCCGAUGUCUGAUUAGCUAGUUGGUGGGGUAAGAGCCCACCAAGGCGACGAUCAGUAGCGGGUCUGAGAGGAUGAUCCGCCACACUGGGACUGAGACACGGCCCAGACUCCUACGGGAGGCAGCAGUGGGGAAUAUUGGACAAUGGGCGGAAGCCUGAUCCAGCCAUGCCGCGUGUGUGAAGAAGGCCUUAGGGUUGUAAAGCACUUUCAGGGGUGAGGAAGGGUAGCUAGUUAAUACCUAGUUAUCUUGACGUUAGCCCCAGAAGAAGCACCGGCUAACUCUGUGCCAGCCGCCGCGGUAAUAC